UUCGUAGGUGAACCUGCGGAAGGAUCAUUAAAGAUUAUGAAUGAGUAGUUUACUGGGGGAGUCACCAAGAACUUGAGCCUGCGCUUAAUUGCGCGGCCAAUUCCUGACUUUCUGCUAUCAGUAUUCUAUUUCUCAUCCUAAACACAAUGGAGUUUUUUCUCUAUAAACUACUUCCCUGGAGAACUCGUUUCUCCAGUGGACAUAAACACAAACAAUCUUUUGUAUUAUGAAAACUUAUUUAUCAAUAAAUUUAAUAUUCAAAACUUUCAACAACGGAUCUCUUGGUUCUCGCAUCGAUGAAGAACGCAGCGAAUUGCGAUAAGUAUUGUGAAUUGCAGAUUUUCGUGAAUCAUCGAAUCUUUGAACGCACAUUGCGCCCUUUGGUAUUCCAGGGGGCAUGCCUGUUUGAGCGUCAUUUCCUUCUCAAACCUCUGGGUUUGGUUGUGAGUGAUACUCUCUUCUGGGUUAACUUGAAAGUGUUUAGCCGUUGCCUUCUGCGCGAGCAGGGCUGCGUGGUCAAGUCUACAGACUCGACUUUUGCGUAUCUACGUCUUAGGUUUGCGCCGAUUCGUGGUAAGCUAAGGUCAUAGAAGUUUGUGGGUGUUACAAAGACUGCUGGUGUUUGUCUCUCCGAGGUUUCACGGCUUCACCAAAAACUCUCAAAGUUUGACCUCAAAUCAGGUAGGAAUACCCGCUGAACUUAAGCAUAUCAUAGGCGCGAGAGGAA
rnacentral:rRNA from 1 species